CUUCCUAACUUCAGCGCCGAGGGUGGACGUGGCCCUGGCCGAAGGCCGCCUCUGCCGCGGUUAGCCACCGCCUCCCCGCUGCCCCUCCGGUCCGGGGUCCGAGCCCUUGGCCAUCAGUGACCAG